CAGGGGAUGACAUUUCAUUUAAACAUUUGGUUUACAUCUUUACAUGCCAAAAAUAUUAAUGUCUUGACUUCAGCAAACCGAAUCCGGCACUUUUUUCUUUUUCCCCUUAAAUGAAGUAAUUAUAGCCAAAACACUCUGUGGGCGUUUGUUCUUCCUUCUCAAAGGUGGAGUUUAACACAGGAACAUUUGGUUUCGGGGCUGGAAUUGUCAGUAGCUGCUCGCUUGACACUUCCCCGUUAGUUUGUGUUGGAAAGCACCAGGAGUUUCUUUCCUUGUGUUUAUUGUGUUACCCUGAGCCCUUUGAUCGGGACAUCUUGGAUAGCAGCAAAGUCUAGCUCAGCGCCUGUUCGCUAUUUAACAAAAAAGUGAAGAAUAUGGUUUCUAUCAAAGGAUCUACAAAGACAGUUAAUGUAAUUGAGAAGCAGAAGGGCAUUUAUGGAAGUGCAUCUGAAUGUCCUCUUCACAUGUAAUUGCAUCAGGAAUUCUACAUUAACAUGCAAGUGCUGUCCAAAGGGAGGAAAAAAAAAAAAGCUUAUUUUUAGGUAGAAGCCCUCAGUGGGCAGUAAAUUACCCAUAAUCUCCCCCAAACUAGCAAUUAGCCCUGUUUGCUGACUACCUGAAUUGUUUCACAGUAGUUCAGCACAGUCUUACCAGUUAUCACCAUACUUAUAAUCAGAGAUUCCGUGAAUGAUUCCCGCAGCUCCACAUACUGCCUGCCUAAGGUCAGCCAUAAUAACAAAUACAUUUUAUUUGCUUCUUUUGGCCCUUUGGAGCUGUUUUCUCAGGCUGCAAUAUGUGAGGAGAGCUGGUGCUGCCCUGCUGCUCAAAUGGCAAGAAUGUGAACAGAGAAAGCAAUUCAGAGGGAAUGCAGAGCUGAAUUCUUGUCCAGAAAGAAGUGGCAAAGAGCAGCUGGGUUUCACCUGA
rnacentral:lncRNA from 1 species